rnacentral:rRNA from 1 species
UACGUAGGGUGCGAGCGUUAAUCGGAAUUACUGGGCGUAAAGCGUGCGCAGGCGGUUUUGUAAGUCAGAUGUGAAAUCCCCGGGCUUAACCUGGGAACUGCGUCCGAUACUGGCAGGCUUGAAUCCGGGAGAGGGAUGCGGAAUUCCAGGUGUAGCGGUGAAAUGCGUAGAUAUCUGGAGGAACACCGGUGGCGAAGGCGGCGUCCUGGACCGGUAUUGACGCUGAGGCGCGAAAGCUAGGGGAGCAAACGGG